rnacentral:rRNA from 1 species
UACGAAGGGGGCUAGCGUUGUUCGGAAUUACUGGGCGUAAAGCGCACGUAGGCGGAUCGAUCAGUCAGGGGUGAAAUCCCAGGGCUCAACCCUGGAACUGCCUUUGAUACUGUCGAUCUGGAGUAUGGAAGAGGUGAGUGGAAUUCCGAGUGUAGAGGUGAAAUUCGUAGAUAUCAGGAAGAACACCAAUGGCGAAGGCAGCUCUCUGGGACGGUACUGACGCUGAGACGCGAAAGCGUGGGGAGCGAACAGG